CCAGACGAACCGCCGAGUCACCACGGAAAGUGAUCCGGGGAACCAAUCGCGGUACGCCGCCCGAUCAGCGUGCCGCAGGGGUGAAUCCGCGACGAACCGUGCCGCGGUAGGGCGACUUCUUCCCGCCCGAAUCCGUCAGCUAACCCGGUAGGCGGUUGCCGACGGGCACC
rnacentral:sRNA from 2 species